rnacentral:lncRNA from 1 species
GUGGGUGCACCUCUGAGUGGUUCACGUGAGGCCCAGGAGAGGGCACUCUUUAUUCACCAGCUCUCAUUCCUACUGGUCAAGGGUUUCCCGAGGGAGUGUUCAUUUCCUUGUGCCUCCAGGUUUGUGCAGGUGUUAGAAUGGCUCAGUCUGUUCGGUGGCCAUCCCACGGAAGGCCCACCGAGAAGCCCCAAGGGCAGAAACAAGAGGUGUGGCUAGGCUGAGGCGCUGCUGGGCCACAGCCAUUCUCAGAAGCUUGCUGCAGCAAGGGCGGAAUGAAAAGUGUGCCGAGGAAACGUGAGACAGGGUGGAAGAGUGGCACAGAGCCCUCCGGAGACAGGGUGACUAUUUUCUGUUGCUACUUUCAAGGAGCCAAAUUGUGUAUGUUGUGUCUAUGUGUGCUUGUGUGGGGGAGGCCCGAGGUGUCAGUGGCUGUUUGAUGGCCACUCUGGAAUAAGUGCCAGCAGUUGGCGGUGUAGACUCUGAAGUCAAUUGUGCCAAAGCCUGGGGACAGUUGUGGUCCAGCCGCCCAGCGAGCUCUCAGACCAGGGGAUCUGAGCAGAGAGCCUUUCUGAAGAGAGUUGCAGUUCUGAAUAUUUCCCAUUGUGUGCCUGCAACAGUCAUUAGGCAGCAGAUCUCAAGACUGUAGUCUGCUCAACAGCUCCCCUCUUGGCUUCCCCCAUGCUUGCAGCGCAGUUGGUCUGUUUCCUCAGUAAAACAGGAUAGGUUGGAGAACAGUCUUGCUCCUUAAAGUGCGGUCCUGCGACCAGCAGCAUCAGCAUUGGAAAUGUGGGAUGGCAGGCCCCACCCGGGACCUGAAAGGAGUCUGCAUUUGAACAAGAUCACCAGGGCGUUCGGAUCCACGGGAAAGCUACACAAGCAGUGGCCUGAGUCUGUGGUUUCUAAACCUGCUUAUCAUCAGAAGCUUCUGGGGAGCUUGCUAAAAACACAAAUUUCUGAGUAUCUGUGGUGUGGCCCUGAAAUCUGUAGUUUUUGUUAAGCUUCCUGUGUGAGUCCAACCCAGACCAUACAUGGGAUCGUGUUUGAGAAUCACCAGGAUAGUCAUCUUUGGUUUUUCUCACUUCUAACAUUCUGAUAUUUUUACCACUGACUUUUACAAAUUUGAAUGUCACUCUUUUGGGGUGUUAUGAAUGAGUGGGGCCUAAGUUGUUUGUUUGUCUUUUUAAACAGGCCUAGUUUCUGGUUGAUGAAUAUUCUGGUCAGGAGCUUGUCUUUCUUCCAACAUCUAAUAGAUACCCCUUUAAGUAACUUAUGGGUACUUGGCCGAGCCCUGCAAGCUGCCAUGGCCUCAUGCUUUGGGGCAU